rnacentral:rRNA from 1 species
AGUAACGCGUGGGUAACCGUGCCUCAUACAGGGGAGUAACAGUUAGAAAUGACUGCUAAUACCGCAUAAGCGCACAGUGCUGCAUGGCACAGUGUGAAAAACUCCGGUGGUAUGAGAUGGACCCGCGUCUGAUUAGCUAGUUGGUGGGGUAACGGCCUACCAAGGCGACGAUCAGUAGCCGGCCUGAGAGGGUGAACGGCCACAUUGGGACUGAGACACGGCCCAA